GAUGAACGCUGGCGGCGUGCCUAAUACAUGCAAGUCGAGCGAAUGGAUUAAGAGCUUGCUCUUAUGAAGUUAGCGGCGGACGGGUGAGUAACACGUGGGUAACCUGCCCAUAAGACUGGGAUAACUCCGGGAAACCGGGGCUAAUACCGGAUAAUAUUUUGAACUGCAUGGUUCAAAAUUGAAAGGCGGCUUCGGCUGUCACUUAUGGGUGGACCCGCGUCGCAUUAGCUAGUUGGUGAGGUAACGGCUCACCAAGGCAACGAUGCGUAGCCGACCUGAGAGGGUGAUCGGCCACACUGGGACUGAGACACGGCCCAGACUCCUACGGGAGGCAGCAGUAGGGAAUCUUCCGCAAUGGACGAAAGUCUGACGGAGCAACGCCGCGUGAGUGAUGAAGGCUUUCGGGUCGUAAAACUCUGUUGUUAGGGAAGAACAAGUGCUAGUUGAAUAAGCUGGCACCUUGACGGUACCUAACCAGAAAGCCACGGCUAACUACGUGCCAGCAGCCGCCGCCG
rnacentral:rRNA from 1 species